CAGCCGCCGCGGUAAUACGUAGGGUGCAAGCGUUAAUCGGAAUUACUGGGCGUAAAGCGUGCGCAGGCGGUUAUAUAAGACAGAUGUGAAAUCCCCGGGCUCAACCUGGGAACUGCAUUUGUGACUGUAUAGCUAGAGUACGGCAGAGGGGGAUGGAAUUCCGCGUGUAGCAGUGAAAUGCGUAGAUAUGCGGAGGAACACCGAUGGCGAAGGCAAUCCCCUGGGCCUGUACUGACGCUCAUGCACGAAAGCGUGGGGAGCAAACAGGAUUAGAUACCCUGGUAGUCCACGCCCUAAACGAUGUCAACUGGUUGUUGGGUCUUCACUGACUCAGUAACGAAGCUAACGCGUGAAGUUGACCGCCUGGGGAGUACGGCCGCAAGGUUGAAACUUAAAGGAAUUGGCGGG
rnacentral:rRNA from 1 species